CACGUAGGGCGCAAGCGUUGUCCGGAAUUAUUGGGCGUAAAGAGCUCGUAGGUGGUUUGUUACGUCCGCUGUGAAAACCUAGGGCUUAACCCUGGGCUUGCAGUGGAUACGGGCAGACUAGAGGUAGGUAGGGGAGAAUGGAAUUCCUGGUGUAGCGGUGAAAUGCGCAGAUAUCAGGAGGAACACCGGUGGCGAAGGCGGUUCUCUGGGCCUUACCUGACACUGAGGAGCGAAAGCGUGGGGAGCAAACAGG
rnacentral:rRNA from 1 species